UGGGGACAGUGGCAGCUGGAACAGGCCCCUCCCAGGACGGGGAGCCCAUGGCUGGGAGGUGAGCACCCUGUAGACCCGUGCAGGCUUGGGGAGGGGCUGGUCGGGGCCACGCAGGGGCCACCCUGCUCCCAGAUUCUCCCUGUCCCUGCGCCCCUGCCGGCCCAGGGCACGGAGCUUAAAGCCGCGGGCGGCACACUCAUCAGCCCACAGAGCCAAAUAUCAACAGGACGACGAUUGAGAUUUCUUUUGAGAGCCAAUUUUUUAAAAAUUAAACUAUAUAGAUUCUAGAACCCGGUGCCUACCCUUGACCCAGCUCCUCCUGCAGAGAUCUCUGUGUCUCCAGACUAGUCCUCAGGCUGGGAACUGGCAGAGCUGCAUUCCAGGCCUCCUGGCACUGGAUAAGAGAUGGGCGGGCCGGGGCCCCUGGGGGAGAAGGUCUCCAUCGCCCAGCUGCUCGGAGCCCCCGCCGCCCCCCGCCAGGCCCCAGGUGCUGCCGCCCCCGGCCCCGAGGCCUCGGACCUGGUGCCGUCUGUGAGCCUGGCCCUGGUGCUGCUUCUGCUCUUUGUCCUGCUCUCGGCCUGGCUGGUGUGGGAGAGGCUCCUCCACACGUCCAGCUAAGCUCGAGGCGGCAGUCAUGCCCGGGGCGGCACCCCCCCGACAAAGCCACCUGCGCCCCAACGGAGCCGUCUGUUGUCCGGUGCAUCGGCGACAGCAUCUCUUUGGGAUGUCAGAGUCGUUUCCCUUUCCCCGGCCCCCUCGGAGCACAGGCACCCCUCUGCGGGGACCACCGAGCUCCUCCUUACUGAGUUCACCAGUGCACCCCCCUCCCGUGUAAAGAAGCACGUGUCCGUCGCCCCAGAGGUGCCCGCUUGGCGUCUCCCGCCCUGCCCGUCGCCAGGGGAGCCACGCGGCCACCUGUGCCUGCCCUUCGGACUGCCAUGUGUGGAAUGAGACUCAACACCCGCCUUUCUCGGAGCAUCGCCCCCGUCCGCUCAGAUGUUGCUUCCCGGCAACUGUCGACCGUUUGGCUCAAAUAAACACAAACAUUCUUUGCA